rnacentral:lncRNA from 1 species
UACCAGAAGGUAUCAAAUCUUACAUAGAAAAAAGUGGUUACCUUCUGGUACCUUCUUAAUAACGAUAAAAUUACUCUUUUAUUUAUAAAAUCCUCGAUCAUUGCCACUAGGCAUGUGAAACAUCACGAAUACACCAUCUGCUACACGGUAAGCUUAGACCACCGAAUCUCACGGACAGUUAUCAAGCAAAUGCAUUCAGCAUCCUUACCCAGAAGAGGGUUAAGGAAGACAUGGAGAGACCUUGUGUUCAUUGUGGCAUACACAGUUGUGAUCUGGUUUGACACCUCUAAUCAUAUGCCUCCAAACUAUUCAAGCUCAUGCCCAAUCAUUAAGAUAUAUGGAGUAGUUCAUAAUCCAAGCUAGUAUUCUGUUGAAUGUAAAAUCUAGAUGACUGACCCACCUGAUCAUAUUUUUCUGUCAAUGUCACAUUGUAACCGU